AAGUAACGAUAAAGCGGGUGAAAAGCCCGCUCGCCGGAAGACCAAGGGUUCCUGUCCAACGUUAAUCGGGGCAGGGUGAGUCGACCCCUAAGGCGAGGCCGAAAGGCGUAGUCGAUGGGAAACGGGUUAAUAUUCCCGUACUUGGUGUUACUGCGAAGGGGGGACGGAGAAGGCUAUGUUGGCCGGGCGACGGUUGUCCCGGUUUAAGCGUGUAGGUGUGUGUUCCAGGUAAAUCCGGUUCACUUUAACACUGAGGCGUGACGACGAGGCACUACGGUGCUGAAGCAACAAAUGCCCUGCUUCCAGGAAAAGCCUCUAAGCAUCAGGUAACACGAAAUCGUACCCCAAACCGACACAGGUGGUCAGGUAGAGAAUACCAAGGCGCUUGAGAGAACUCGGGUGAAGGAACUAGGCAAAAUGGUGCCGUAACUUCGGGAGAAGGCACGCUGACACGUAGGUGAAGUGAUUUACUCAUGGAGCUGAAGUCAGUCGAAGAUACCAGCUGGCUGCAACUGUUUAUUAAAAACACAGCACUGUGCAAACACGAAAGUGGACGUAUACGGUGUGACGCCUGCCCGGUGCCGGAA
rnacentral:rRNA from 1 species